rnacentral:rRNA from 1 species
CCUACGGGGGGCAGCAGUGAGGAAUAUUGGUCAAUGGCCGGAAGGCUGAACCAGCCAAGUCGCGUGAGGGAAUAAGGCCCUAUGGGUCGUAAACCUCUUUUGUCAGGGAGCAAAGGCGUCCACGUGUGGACGAGAGGAGAGUACCUGAAGAAAAAGCAUCGGCUAACUCCGUGCCAGCAGCCGCGGUAAUACGGAGGAUCCGAGCAUUAUCCGGAGUGACUGGGUGUAAAGAGUUGCGUAGGUGGCAUAGUAAGUAGCUAGUGAAAUCUGGUGGCUCAACCAUUCAGACUAUUAGCUAAACUGCU